AGGGAGCGAGGGAGGAGGAGGAGAGAAAGCAGACCGAGAGAGCGCAAGCGAGUAGAGCAGUGUGGCUGCCUUGCAAUGGAAUAAAAACUGCGCAAUUUCAAAUCUGCACUUCUUUGAUCCCGGUUUCCUCUCCGAAUGUAGCGGCGCGGGCUCGCCCGAUGCAGGAUGGAUAUGCAGGCAGCUGCUGUCAUCUGGUGUCGCGUAGGCGCGGACUAGCGAUUUUUAACGGACCGUAUCGAUGUGUUUUUUGGAAGAUUUGCGUGAUCAUGCGAGCAACGCUGUAAUAGAAGAAUUGAUACUCGAAGACCAGGGAAACCAAAUAGUACGUUACGCUUUGUGGUAUCUGGGUUAAAAUUCAUCGCUGAGCGCUACGCAUGAUGUGUGUGUGCAUAAACGUGCUCAUCUUUGCUACGGUUUCAUAAUACAUGUCUGCGUGUACAGCGCUGCUCCAUGAAGACAAUAUUAAAUUACAUAAACAUUUAUGUGCACGAUUCAUAUUUUAACGUGGAUGCAUUUUAAAGAUGCGUUACUGCACUAAAUGUCAGUCAUGAGGAAAACACAACACACGGAAUUAUUUUAAUCCCCUGCCCAUAUGCAACAUUUACGCUGACCAUGGCACCUCCCAGCAGAUAUCGGCGGUCAGCACCAGCGGGGCACCUAAAAAACCCUUUGAAAUCUCAAGGCUGUGCGUUCUAUGGGAGGCCUCAGCCCUGUGGGUGGUACCCAAAACCGUCACCACACGCGUCACCGCCAGCUAUCAGCUGAUAUGUCCGUUCACCAAAGAGGAAGCUUACCCUGGAACCAAGGUAUGAAGAAACCAGUGUGUGCCCAGCAGGAGCCUGCGGAGGUAUCCUGGGGGCAUGUUUUAAGGAGCCUAAAACUGGCAAAGGAUGGAUCCAUUCAGUACGAGCAAAGGGCCUUCGACCGAGACGUGAACGAGCUCCUCAGAUCGGCUCCUGGGACAGCGCUGGGCACACUCCUUAAAGGGGGUGGCAGGUACAAGCACGAGCAGCCUAGUGAUGGCAGCAGGAGCGGGACAUCCCCUCUGGUGGGUGGAAGGUCCCAAACAUGGCCACUUGCGAUAGCGCAGAAAGCAACACCCACCCACUGGAAAGAGGGGAACGUUAGACCCCGCCCACACUGAAGACAGGAAAGAAAGAGGAGACAGGGCCAGGUCCUGCAUUGCUUGUGCUGCGUGUGUGUUUAUGUGGGCUGCGCUGCCGCCGGAGUCCCCUUGCAUUUAAAGGGAAAAGGACACAAAGAUCGUGCUGUGGCCCCAGCGGCCGUGGAUUUACAAACACCCCCCUCCCUCCCGUGGCU